rnacentral:rRNA from 1 species
UACGUAGGGUGCGAGCGUUGUCCGGAAUUAUUGGGCGUAAAGAGCUCGUAGGCGGUGUGUCACGUCGGCCGUGAAAACUUGACAGCUUAACUGUGGGCGUGCGGUCGAUACGGGCAUCACUGGAGUUCGGCAGGGGAGACUGGAAUUCCUGGUGUAGCGGUGAAAUGCGCAGAUAUCAGGAGGAACACCGGUGGCGAAGGCGGAUCUCUGGGCCGAUACUGACGCUGAGGAGCGAAAGCGUGGGGAGCGAACAGG